rnacentral:lncRNA from 1 species
AGAGAGGAAGAGGAAGAAGAAGUCUGGUAAUCCACGGUUUGCAAUCAAUAAGGGCUCACCCGUCCCUUCCAGUUCCAGGCUGGUGUCCCUCCGGUCCCUCCGAUCCCAUUGAUCCCCCUCAAAGUUAGUUGGACGACUGGCAAGUACGGUCGUGGAGCCCCCGCGCGCUUCGUCCCUCGGUGCCGCAACACUUCGGGUCCCCUCGGUCAACCUCGGGCUUUUCCGUCUCCCGAGUCGCGCCGCUCGGCUCCCGCCAGGCUCGUGGAGCCAACUUUCAACUUCUUCUAGUAUCAUUUCCAAGCUCUCUUGUUUUUUGCCGAAAAAACUCUUUCUAGAUUUUGGAAUACUUGAGGCCGCUCUUCUUGUUCCCCCCGUUACACGUGCACGGUCACAGUCAUCCUUACACGUCAAGUUCUGUGCCUGCGCCUCAAGAUCUGUCGAUUAA